CAGCCGCCGCGGGAAAACGUAGGGUGCAAGCGUUAAUCGGAAUUACUGGGCGUAGAGCGUGCGCAGGCGGUUUGUUAAGACAGAUGUGAAAUCCCCGGGCUCAACCUGGGAACUGCAUUUGAAACUGGCAAGCUAGAGUCUUGUAGAGGGGGGUAGAAUUCCAGGUGUAGCGGUGAAAUGCGUAGAGAUCUGGAGGAAUACCGGUGGCGAAGGCGGCCCCCUGGACAAAGACUGACGCUCAGGUGCGAAAGCGUGGGGAGCAAACAGGAUUAGAUACCCGCGUAGUCCCUGUCUCUUAUAC
rnacentral:rRNA from 1 species